GAGCGUGAAUUCAAACCCUCUCUUCACUGACUUUCUAUAAACUUGAUUGGGGAGAUUUGCAAACCCCACAUAUCCUUCAAGGUUCUUCUGCGGCGGCGGCGCUGCUGCUGCUGCUCUCGCUGGCGUUCGUCCCCCUCAGCCGCGGCGGCACGGAGCGAGCUGCCCGCCCCCUCAGUCCGUCGUCUGGCGGUGCUGCUGCUGCGGCUGCUACUACUACUACUAUGCCGCCGCCGCCCUACCGAUUCUCCAAA